rnacentral:rRNA from 1 species
CCUACGGGUGUCAGCAGUGGGGAAUAUUGGACAAUGGGCGAAAGCCUGAUCCAGCCAUGCCGCGUGUGUGAAGAAGGCCUUCGGGUUGUAAAGCACUUUCAGUGGGGAAGAAAGCCUUGGGGCUAAUACCCUCGAGGAAGGACAUCACCCACAGAAGAAGCACCGGCUAACUCCGUGCCAGCAGCCGCGGUAAUACGGAGGGUGCGAGCGUUAAUCGGAAUUACUGGGCGUAAAGCGCGCGUAGGCGGUCUGAUAAGCCGGUUGUGAAAGCCCCGGGCUCAACCUGGGAACGGCAUCCGGAACUGUCAGGCUAGAGUGCAGGAGAGGAAGGUAGAAUUCCCGGUGUAGCGGUGAAAUGCGUAGAGAUCGGGAGGAAUACCAGUGGCGAAGGCGGCCUUCUGGACUGACACUGACGCUGAGGUGCGAAAGCGUGGGUAGCAAACAGGAUUAGAUACCUGGUAGUC